rnacentral:rRNA from 1 species
CAGUCGCCGGGGAAUACGAAGGGUGCAAGCGUUACUCGGAAUUACUGGGCGUAAAGCGUGCGUAGGUGGUGGUUUAAGUCCGUUGUGAAAGCCCUGGGCUCAACCUGGGAAUUGCAGUGGAUACUGGGUCACUAGAGUGUGGUAGAGGAUAGUGGAAUUUCCGGUGUAGCAGUGAAAUGCGUAGAGAUCGGAAGGAACAUCUGUGGCGAAGGCGACUAUCUGGGCCAACACUGACACUGAGGCACGAAAGCGUGGGGAGCAAACAGGAUUAGAUACCCCCGUAGUCCCUGUCUCUUAUACA